rnacentral:lncRNA from 7 species
ACGGGUGUCAGCUGCAGGGCACAACGUGAGCCCCAUGGGGACCCACAUGGAUGGGGAGAACGUGUAUGAGGAUGCAGCUGACAGCACAGCCAUCUACGAGGAACCCCCGCAGGACCACGAUGAUGGAGCUCAGUAUCAGUACCCGGGUGGGUACCAGCAGGAGCCAGAGCUGGCGGGGAAGGGGCUGUGUGCCCGCGCACUCUACGACUACCAGGCGGCGGAUGACACCGAGAUCUCCUUUGACCCUGAGAACAUCAUCACCAACAUUGAGAUGAUCGACGAGGGAUGGUGGCGGGGCUACGGCCCUGACGGCCACUUCGGGAUGUUCCCCGCCAACUACGUGGAGCUGCUCGAGUGAGGUCACCGUGCUGUGCCCCCCGGAGCCCCCAGCGCUCUCUGGGGGGCGAUGGCAGCGCCCUGCCGUGCCCCCCCCGCCCCAAGAUGUGAGUGCUGCCUGCCCCAUUCACUGUGAAGGAGGAAGAGCGCGGUGCAGCGACGGCCUUCCUCCCCCCCUCUGGUUUGCUUUGGGAUCAAGGAUGCGGUGGCUGUUGGCCGCGGGUCAAUAAAAGGGCUUUCUUUGGUGUC